GACGAACGCUGGCGGCGUGCUUAACACAUGCAAGUCGAACGGAAAGGCCUGCUUUCCCUUGUGGAUUGCGGGUACUCGAGUGGCGAACGGGUGAGUAACACGUGAGUGAUCUGCCCCCAACUUGGGUAUAAGCCUGGGAAACUGGGUCUAAUUCCCGAUAGGACUGCAGGGUGGUGCCUGUGGUGGAAAACGAUUUUCUAGUGGUUGGGGAUGAGCUCGCGGCCUAUCAGCUUGUUGGUGGGGUAAUGGCCUACCAAGGCGGCGACGGGUAGCCGGCCUGAGAGGAUGGACGGCCACAUUGGGACUGAGACAAGGCCCAGACGCCUACGGGAGGCAGCAGUUGGGAAUAUUGCACAAUGGGCGGAAGCCUGAUGCAGCGACGCCGCGUGGGGGAUGACGGGCUUCGGGUUGUAAACUCCUUUCGACCGCGAGGAAGCCACCUGGUUGGAAGGGUGGUGACGGUAGUGGUAGAAGAAGCACCGGCUAACUACGUG
rnacentral:rRNA from 1 species